rnacentral:rRNA from 1 species
AGACAGCAGUAGCCGCGGGAAUACGUAGGGUGCAAGCGUUAAUCGGAAUUACUGGGCGUAAAGCGUGCGCAGGCGGUUAUAUAAGUCAGAUGUGAAAUCCCCGGGCUCAACCUGGGAACCGCAUUUGAGACUGUAUGGCUAGAGUGUGUCAGAGGGGGGUAGAAUUCCACGUGUAGCAGUGAAAUGCGUAGAUAUGUGGAGGAAUACCGAUGGCGAAGGCAGCCCCCUGGGAUAACACUGACGCUCAUGCACGAAAGCGUGGGGAGCGAACAGGAUUAGAUACCCCAGUAGUCCCUGUCUCUUAUAC